rnacentral:rRNA from 1 species
GAUGAACGCUGGCGGCGUGCUUAACACAUGCAAGUCGAACGAAGCACUUAAGAUUGAUUCUUCGGAUGACGUCUUUUGUGACUUAGUGGCGGACGGGUGAGUAACGCGUGGGUAACCUGCCUCACACAGGGGGGUAACAGUUAGAAAUGACUGCUAAUACCGCAUAACCCGAUAGGAUCGCAUGAUCCCGCCGGAAAAGAUUUAUCGGUGUGAGAUGGACCCGCGUCGGACUAGCUAGUUGGUGAGGUAACGGCCCACCAAGGCGACGAUCAGCAGCCGGGCUGAGAGGGUGGACAGCCACGUUUAGGCGGGGACGCGGCCCAAACUCCUACACGAGGCAGCAGAGGGUAAUAUAGCACUAUCGGGGAAGCCCUGAUGCACUGACGCCGCGUGAGUGAAGAAGUAUGGAGAGAUAUAAAGCUCUAUCAGCCGGGGAGAAAAUGACGGUACCUAACGAAGAAGCCCCGGCUAACUACGUG